rnacentral:rRNA from 1 species
GCUAUUUAGGUUAGAGUUUGAUCAUGGCUCAGGACGAACGCUGGCGGCGUGCUUAACACAUGCAAGUCGAACGGAAAGGCCUCUUCGGAGGUACUCGAGUGGCAGACGGCUGAGUAACGCGUGGGUGACGUACCUAUUGGUGGGGAAUAACUGCCCGAAAGGGUGGCUAAUACCGCAUACGCCUACAUCUGCGUUGGUGUAGGGAAAGCAGCAAUGCGCCGAUGGAGCGGCCCGCGUCCGAUUAGCCAGUUGGUGGGGUAACGGCCUACCAAAGCGACGAUCGGUAGCUGGUCUCAGAGGAUGAUCAGCCAGACUGGGACUGAGACACGGCCCAGACUCCUACGGGAGGCAGCAGUUAGGAAUUUUGGGCAAUGGGCGCAAGCCUGACCCAGCAACGCCGCGUGGGUGACGAAGGCCUUCGGGUUGUAAAGCCCUUUUCUGGAGGAAGAUGAUGACGGUACUCCAGGAAGAAGCACCGGCUAACUACGUGCCAGCAGCCGCGGUACGCC